rnacentral:rRNA from 1 species
GGACUACUGGGGUAUCUAAUCCUGUUUGCUACCCACGCUUUCGUGUCUCAGCGUCAGUAAUGGUCCAGCAAGCUGUCUACACCACAGGUGUUCCUCCUGAUAUCUACGCAUUUCACCGCUACACCAGGAAUUCCGCUUGCCUCUCCCAUACUCUAGCACCCCAGUUUCCGGCGCACCCUCCCAGUUAAGCCAGGAGAUUUCACACCAGACUUAGAGCACAGCCUACACACUCUUUACGCCCAGUAAUUCCGAACAACGCUUGCUGCCUACGUAUUACCGCGGCUGCUGGCAC